rnacentral:tRNA from 1 species
GGGGGUGUAGCUCAGCAGUAAAGCACUUGCCUGAUGUAAGAAAGGCCCUGGGUUCCAUCCCUAGCACUGCCA